UACGUAGGCAGCAAGCGUUGUUCGGAAUUACUGGGCGUAAAGAGUGUGUAGGCGGUGCUCUAAGUUCGGUGUGAAAUCUCCCGGCUCAACUGGGAGGGUGCGCCGAAAACUGGAGUGCUGGAGUACGGAAGAGGAGGGCGGAAUUCCCGGUGUAGCGGUGAAAUGCGUAGAUAUCGGGAGGAACAUCAGUGGCGAAGGCGGCCCUCUGGUCCAGUACUGACACUCAAGUGCGAAAGCGUGGGGAGCAAACAGG
rnacentral:rRNA from 1 species